rnacentral:rRNA from 1 species
UACGGAGGGUGCAAGCGUUGUCCGGAAUCACUGGGCGUAAAGGGUGCGUAGGCGGCCUGUUAAGUCAGGGGUGAAAGACGGUAGCUCAACUAUCGCAGUGCCCUUGAUACUGAUGGGCUUGAAUGGACUAGAGGUAGGCGGAAUGAGACAAGUAGCGGUGAAAUGCAUAGAUAUGUCUCAGAACACCGAUUGCGAAGGCAGCUUACUAUGGUCUUAUUGACGCUGAGGCACGAAAGCGUGGGGAUCAAACAGG